rnacentral:lncRNA from 1 species
GUUGCAGGCCAUUUGCCCGGGCCCAAUUAACCCAAACAAAAAUAAGAGCCCAAAACACCCUAAACCAAAUCAAAAAAAGAAAAAAACCAAAAAACCUAGCCUCCAGAAACCCUAGCCUCUGCCAUGCCCACCAACUCCCUGCCACCGCCGCAACCACCACCAACCACUCCCAUCAAAGCACCUGCAAGGACACGCAACAACAGAGAAAAGACAACAAAUAAUAUAAAAAAUGUAUUAGGGCUAUAUUAAGCCAUUGAAACCAAUGUAAAAGGGGGAUAUUUUUUUUGAAAUCGGGGAAGGAAACCGAUUAAGAACCUUUGUAAUACAAGAACGGUUCAGAAGAAAGAAAAGAUUGAAGGUUACUUUCUUUUUUUUUGUUUUUUUUCUUGAUUAUUUUAUUUCAAAAUAUUAAACAAAAAAGAAUAAAAGGAGGCAUCUUUACCUUAUUACCGA